rnacentral:rRNA from 1 species
CCUACGGGUGGCAGCAGUCGAGAAUCAUUCACAAUGGGGGAAACCCUGAUGGUGCGACGCCGCGUGGGGGAAUGAAGGUCUUCGGAUUGUAAACCCCUGUCAUGUGGGAGCAAAUUAAAAAGAUAGUACCACAAGAGGAAGAGACGGCUAACUCUGUGCCAGCAGCCGCGGUAAUACAGAGGUCUCAAGCGUUGUUCGGAAUCACUGGGCGUAAAGCGUGCGUAGGCUGUUUCGUAAGUCGUGUGUGAAAGGCGCGGGCUCAACCCGCGGAAGGCACAUGAUACUGCGAGACUAGAGUAAGGGAGAGGGAACCGGAAUUCUCGGUGUAGCAGUGAAAUGCGUAGAUAUCGAGAGGAACACUCGUGGCGAAGGCGGGUUCCUGGACAUUAACUGACGCUGAGGCACGAAGGCCAGGGGAGCGAAAGGGAUUAGAUACCCGUGUAGUC